UAGAAAGGAGAGGGCAGCUGCAUGUAGUGGAAAACCAUGAAAUUUGUUGCUUAGAAGUUAAAAUUUUCAAGUAGAAGGGUAACUCUUCUAAACUCUCCCUUGCCCAUAGCUUUUCGUUGACAAAUUCUGGUUGCAUUGUUGAUUUGAGCUUGACGAAUAUGUGGGAGUAGAGAAGAUUUUCUUUUCUAGUUGCAAAUGUUGCAUGUCUAGU
rnacentral:lncRNA from 1 species